rnacentral:rRNA from 1 species
CCCGGGCCUUGUAUACACCGCCCGUCACGUCAUGAAAGUCGGUAACACCCGAAGCCAGUGGCCCAACCCUUGUGGGGGGAGCUGUCGAAGGUGGGAUCGGCGAUUGGGACG